rnacentral:lncRNA from 1 species
UCAGGUGUCUGCUCACCUUCAUAGAAAACACAACAGCAGGCCGAGCUUCAGUCUGAAGAUGAUCAGCAGUGAAGAGGUGAGUGUGAAAGAGAUGUGAGCUCUGGAUGAAAAUGCAACAACAGAAAGCUGCAAAACAGACAGAAAAACAGCAGAGAGAGAUUUUUUUUUCAAGAGCAAAAUUAGAGCAUGUGGAGGAGGAAGAUAUGGCCGAGCAGAUAUGAUUCAGAGGGGGCAGCGUGAUGUGAGGUGCUUCUUGAAGAAAUGAACCUUUAAUGAUCCGCUUGGGAUUCAGUCCGACCGCCAGCAGAGGACGAGGAGGGAUGCCGCUGCUCUGAUUAGACGAGGAAGGUCAAACUCCCAGGUCUCCUGCAGCUGACGGCACGGCGUUAGUGGACACCUGAUUUGUUUUCUCUGGCCUUUCUCGACCCCCUCCGCCUCCCCCACUCGCUCCUCUGGACAGGAAAUCAGUUAAACCCCCCGGAGACUCUCUGUGCUCAAUAUGGCUGCUGUUGGAGAUCUGAGGACAUUUCCAGCUGUUUUUGUGGCAUCAACGCCAAGUGUUUUAUAAGAAAACCUGGGGACAUUUCCAGCUGUUUUUGUGGAGUCAAAAUCAGGUGUUUUUUAAAGGAGACCUGGGGAUAUUUCCAGCUGUUUUUGUGGAGUCAACGCCAAGUGUUUUAUAAGAAAACCUGGGGACAUUUCCAGCUGUUUUUGUGGAGUCAAAAUCAGGUGUUAUUUAAAGGAGACCUGGGGACAUUUCCAGCUGUUUUUGUGGAGUCAAAAUCAGGUGUUUUUUAAAGGAGACCUGGGGAUAUUUCCAGCUGUUUUUGUGGCAUCAACGCCAAGUGUUUUAUAAGAAAACCUGUGGACAUUUCCAGCUGUUUUUGUGGAGUCAAAAUCAGGUGUUUUAUAAGAAAACCUGGGGACAUUUCCAGCUGUUUUUGUGGAGUCAAAAUCUGGUGUUUUUUAAAGGAGACCUGGGGAUAUUUCCAGCUGUUUUUGUGGCGUCAAAAUCACGUGUUUUUUAAAGGAGACCUGGGGAUAUUUCCAGCUGUUUUUGUGGAGUCAACAUUGAGUGUUUUUAAGGAGACCUGGGGACAUUUCCAGCUGUUUUUGUGGAGUCAAAAUCUAGUGUUUUUUAAAGGAGACCUGGGGAUAUUUCCAGCUGUUUUUGUGGCGUCAAAAUCACGUGUUUUUUAAAGGAGACCUGGGGAUAUUUCCAGCUGUUUUUGUGGAGUCAACAUUGAGUGUUUUUAAGGAGACCUGGGGACAUUUCCAGCUGUUUUUGUGGAGUCAAAAUCACGUGUUUUUUAAAGGAGACCUGGGGAUAUUUCCAGCUGUUUUUGUGGAGUCAAAAUCAGGUGUUUUUUAAGAAAACCUGGGGACAUUUCCAGCUGUUUUUGUGGUGUCAAAAUUAGGUGUUUUUUAAAGGAGACCUGGGGACAUUUCCAGCUGUUUUUGUGGUGUCAAAAUUAGGUGUUUUUUAAAGGAGACCUGGGGACAUUUCCAGCUGUUUUUGGGGCGUCAACUCAGAUUGUUUUUUUUAGGGAGACAUGGGGACAUUUCCAGCUGUUUUUGUGGUGACUAAAAACAGCUAUUUUUCAUGGGAAGUUGGACAAUCUCCAUCUUUGAUGGUGGCUGUCUGCAAAAGUGAUGCUUAUUAGCUCCAUAUAUCAAAGUGCAGGUGUUGCAGGAUAGAAGCAAAUUCUGUAGUAGAAACACAGCGUUUAUGUAACAUUGUCUCAUUUUCAAGGUGAAAUAAAAGGAAAAGGAAAGUUUAGACACUUUUGUUUUAUAAUUCUUCUGAACAAACAAUACAAGACUGAAAACAGAACAAACCAAGGUCUUCAGAUGACUCAUGACUUCAACAUGAUGUUCUUCACUUUUGUACUCGUCUCUACAGAACAGGUGUUUCUGCACGGCGGAUGUCUUAAGUUUUAGAAACAGGCUCGGUGUUCGACAGAUGUUGGAGGUUAUGGAGGCCAUCAUAAAUCUCGUUAAGGCUCAUUUAUGCUCAACGUUAUCUGGAUUCUGACAGAAUGCUGGAGCCUCAUCUAUCUUAUGAAUCUUGUGCUGUAGAUCAAAACAGCAACAAGAAAUACAACAACAAUGAGACGAAGAGGGAGAGAAAGUCACCAGACUCCAUUGGAAAAUCACUUAAUUAUGUGAGUUUGGAGUUUGGAGAAACUUACAUACUUUUUGAAAUGCUGUCUAUGAUGAAUUCUUAAUUAUUUGGGCCUUCUUGUAAAUUCAGCAUAUGUUAUACAUUAAAAUCUUUCUGUCUUUGUGUCUGUUUGUCCCAGUGAUACAUGCGAAACGACAAUGUUUCUCUAAACCUAACCAGACCUCGACCAUACGUGAUUCCAGUACGCGUGUCGUUGUGAUGCGUCGAUGGUCGCGCAGUUUUCAGUGGUUUAGGUUUGAGGAUGUUUAAAUCCAGACGGACAGUAAUGGAGUUGCGUCAGAAGACUGUUGAUUGUGGGACAGCUUGUUGCUCUCGUCUGCUGUCCUCCUCUGAUGUGAUGCUCUCUGAUUGACUCAUAGUUUAGUUUCCCCCGCAGGCCGUUUUCAUGUCACCCUCCAAUCAGAGGCCGGAGACUGGAAUAACACAGCGUGA